CACGUAGGGGGCGAGCGUUGUCCGGAUUUAUUGGGCGUAAAGAGCUCGUAGGCGGCUCGGUAAGUCAGGUGUGAAAACUCUAGGCUCAACCUAGAGACGCCACCUGAUACUGCUGUGGCUAGAGUCCGGUAGGGGAGCAUGGAAUUCCUGGUGUAGCGGUGAAAUGCGCAGAUAUCAGGAGGAACACCGGUGGCGAAGGCGGGUCUCUGGGCCGAUACUGACGCUGAGGCACGAAAGCGUGGGGAGCAAACAGG
rnacentral:rRNA from 1 species